rnacentral:rRNA from 1 species
CCUACGGGAGGCAGCAGUGAGGAAUAUUGGUCAAUGGGCGAGAGCCUGAACCAGCCAAGCCGCGUGAGGGACGACGGUGCUAUGGAUUGUAAACUUCUUUUGUCGGGGAGCAAAAACCGGUACGAGUACCGGAUCGAGAGUACCUGGAGAAAAAGCAUCGGCUAACUCCGUGCCAGCAGCCGCGGUAAUACGGAGGAUGCGAGCGUUAUCCGGAUUUAUUGGGUUUAAAGGGUGCGUAGGCGGGGGGUUAAGUCAGCGGUAAAAUUCCGGGGCUCAACCCCGACAAGCCGUUGAAACUGGCUGGCUAGAGAGGGCGAGAGGUAUGCGGAAUGCGUGGUGUAGCGGUGAAAUGCUUAGAUAUCACGCAGAACUCCGAUUGCGAAGGCAGCAUACCGGCGGCCAUCUGACGCUGAGGCACGAAAGCGUGGGUAUCGAACAGGAUUAGAUACCCUAGUAGUC